rnacentral:rRNA from 1 species
UACGGGGGGAGCAAGCGUUGUUCGGAUUUACUGGGCGUAAAGGGCGCGUAGGCGGUCAGCACAAGUCAGUUGUGAAAUCUCCGGGCUUAACUCGGAAAGGUCAACUGAUACUGUGCGACUAGAGUGCAGAAGGGGCAACUGGAAUUCUCGGUGUAGCGGUGAAAUGCGUAGAUAUCGUCUGGAACGCCAAAGGUGAAAACAGACUGCUGGGAGUGUGCUGACGCUGAGACACGAAAGCCAGGGGAGCAAACGGG